rnacentral:rRNA from 1 species
CACGUAGGGUGCGAGCGUUGUCCGGAAUUAUUGGGCGUAAAGAGCUCGUAGGCGGUGUGUCGCGUCGGCCGUGAAAACCUGCAGCUUAACUGUGGGCUUGCGGUCGAUACGGGCAUCACUGGAGUUCGGCAGGGGAGACUGGAAUUCCUGGUGUAGCGGUGAAAUGCGCAGAUAGUCAGGAGGAACACCGGUGGCGAAGGCGGGUCUCUGGGC